GGGUGUCCGCUGCAUGACGCAGCGCGGCAGGCUCAAGCGCUGGUCGGGCCGCCGCG
rnacentral:ncRNA from 2 species